rnacentral:lncRNA from 10 species
UAUUUGUGUCUCCUUAUGACUAGAAGUUGUGAAGAUCUUGUACCAGAGCGUGGCGUUGCUGUACGUGUCAGGAACACAGUGCGGUGGCUGUCUGCAGGAGAAGAGGAGGAGGAAAGACACGUGCUCAGUGGCCUGAGUCAUUCACUUGUGUCACCCCCACAGCAGCUGGUAAAACACUGAACACGGCAACACACAUGGAAAGGAAAAAUGUAACUUACACGUUCAUGCUUCUUUGAGAUAAAUACCAUU